AUAAAUUCGAUGAUGAGAAGAGUAAGAUGGGAUCGCUGUUCCAAAGAGAGUCGGCACUAGGUGGAAGUCGAUGUUCAGUACCUUUCCGAAGAUCAUCUCUAAGAUGCAAAGCUGAAUCUAGUAAGCUUUGACGGGUUUUCCACCGUUACAUUGGAACACGUAUGAUGGUACGUUGGUCUUGAGAGCCGCAUGAUUGUUAUCGAUUGCUGCGGAAUUAGGGUGGUAACGCGAGUACAAACUCGUCCCUUGU
rnacentral:ncRNA from 1 species